ensembl:lncRNA novel transcript
CACACCUGCUGGUCUCACCGCUAGGGCCUGGGCAUCACAGGCAGGGGGAAUGGGGAGGGGACGGUAGCGUCAGCCUACACCCACACGCAGAAGCUGACAAUGACUGUUGGGCUUUUCCAAUGAAUACCAGAACACCAUUUCCUGCAGCCUGAAAAGAAGACAGUAUAAUUGUUUGGCAGCAAGAGGCCAAGCAGGAAACUAGAGAUAUGGUGACGGUAGUGGUCCCAGGGAGGAGCUUUAACCUGAGCACCACCCACAGAAGGCAGACCACCCUCCCAGCCGCAGUGCAAAUGAAUGUUGGCCCCCACCCAGGUCCCCAAGUGCUUUCCCAGUCACGCCCCAGCUGCCAGGUUUUUUUCUCCAGGCCUACUACAGAUGGGUUACCCUGACUCCACCCCCAACACCCUCCAAUGAUUAGAACCACUGACUCCUCCCUCCCAUGCCUGCCUCCAUGGCAGGCCCCUGCAGAAACCAAACAUAGUCACCUUAGACUCUGGCAUACUGAGACCAGGGCUUGAUCCUGGCCCCCUUGCCUCCCUGGCAAUUUAUCAUUUAAUAAAAAUAUUGUUAAAAAAUA